ACAUAGAAAUUGACAGAAGAGGGUGAGCACAAAAAAAGUCUUUAGUAUAUAAUGUUUAUACCAUUAUUUUUGUGUGCUCAUACUCUUCUGACAAUUUUCAAUG
rnacentral:pre_miRNA from 1 species